CCGAUAGUGGAGCUCUAGAAGAAUUUCUCAGAAUGCCAGAAACAUUGGCGGGCAUGCAUCCAACAAUUCACCAAAGUUUUAUCGCAAUCGAAUGAUCGAUUAGGAAGACAAAAGAGAUAUACGGACAUUUUGAUAUACAUAGAUGUCGAACUGAUUUCGUAGUUAGUUUUCGUGUAUGGUGAAAACCAAUGCCUUAAAAACCACGGGUUUUUCAAAUAGUUCCAAUAUUUAGCAAGAGUUUAAU